rnacentral:sRNA from 1 species
UGGACACUUGUAAUCUCCUGUUCCCCCUUUACAGAAAAAUCCGUGCUUCCAUGCACAUCUCGCAGGUCUCUGCCUUCGGGAGAUUUGUGUCGGACGAUAAGACCGGACUGGAGAGGAGCGCAAUCACACCUGUCUGCACAGUCGCACAAAGUGUUUCCACAUCUGCAUGGCCAGCGGGGUAUGACACGCAGUAUUCACGACGUAUGCUCGUGCCAGAUUCUGAUGCUCUGAUGCUACUGGAGGGCAAGGAGAACUACGGCGUCUAUCCGGACAGAUAAUUUUAAGUGGCGGGAGUAGUGACAUAAAGAACGACUGUAUAUCCGCCUUCUGGCGCUGUGACGAAAGGACUGCCCGGCGGAUCAGUUCAGCUGACAGUCAACCGAGGGCAGAGACAAGACUCUGAUCUGCGAUGGUACCACCAGUGACAACUGUGACAAUGUCCACGAUGAGGCCGACUGCUGCAAGCGACCUGAGAGUUUCAGUGUCCCAUCAACCAGCUUUGCAUCGGCCGCCCUGCUCUGCGAUGGCCGUGCCUCGGAUAUUUUCGCGCAGCGAACCAAAAAUCGAGCUUUAAUGGCUCCAUCGAAGAAAUUAAGUAACUAGACUUAAGACCGCUAGACCGCUUAGAAAUUAAAGACUUUAAAAAUGCAAUAGAGAACCUGCCGGCUAUGCCAUAUGAGGUGCAACGCGACCAAGCUGCGGAUGAAGUUGGAGCGAAAGACUAUGGAUGAGUAUGCCAGGCUACUACUACCACAAUGCCUUCUACAAGGACCCAAGGUCCGAAGGCGACACCAGUUUAAGGUACGCGCUUGUCCCCAACGAACGAAGGACAAGUUGCUCAGUAUGCCAAAAUCGGAAGAGGAUGAUUCGCCCGAAGAGUUUCAGCAUGAAUAGGCAAAAUUGGGAAAGUUAUUUUCUCCGGUAACCUUCUACGCCUUUGCAAAGUACGCGGACAAGGAAACAAAACCGAAACAAAUAAGCACGGAAGAAGUCAAGCCUUCUACAUAUAUUCCCUGAGGCAAAUCCUGCUUUUAUGGCGAAGUUGCUAGCAUCUGGCUAUCCCGUUAACGAAACAGCAGUCAAGUUUUUAGCGGAGUAUGGUCGGAGAGGCAUAGGGAUCCGUGUACGUCGGACCAGAUAGAGCUACGUCGGAGCUCAGUUAAAGGUUGAGCUGACCAACGCUUUCAGCAAUCUUGCGGGACCGGAUUUAUUUAUUUAUGGUAAUAAACUCAUUCCACAACCACCCAAGAGGUCG